rnacentral:sRNA from 1 species
GAUUCUGCCCUACGGGGAAGGAUGAGAAGCUUCGACUAAGGUUCGACUCGAGCGAAGCGAGAGAACGUUGCCGCAGGCAACGGCCCGAAGGGCGAGGCGCUUUAGCGCCGAGUAAUCCUUCCCCCACCACCA